AACGCUAGCUACAGGCUUAACACACGCAAGUCGAGGGGUAGCACAGAGGAAGCUUGCUUCUUUGGGUGACGACCGGCGCACGGGUGAGUAACGCGUAUCCGACCUACCCAUAACACGGGCACAGCCGCUCGAAAGAGUGAUUGAUUCCCGAUAUGUCAUUAGAGUAGAUCUAAUGAUGAAAGAUUCAUCGGUUAUGGAUGGGGAUGCGUAAGAUUAGGUAGUAGGCGGGGUAACGGCCCACCUAGCCGACGAUCUUUAGGGGUUCUGAGAGGAAGGUCCCCCACACUGGUACUGAGACACGGACCAGACUCCUACGGGAGGCAGCAGUGAGGAAUAUUGGUCAAUGGGCGGAAGCCUGAACCAGCCAAGUAGCGUGAAGGAUUACAGCCCUACGGGUUUUAAACUUCUUUUAUAUAAGAGUAAUGUGCACUACGUGUAGUGUAUUGCAAGUAUUAUAUGAAUAAGCAUCGGCUAACUCCGUGCCAGCAGCCGCGGUAAUACGGAGGAUGCGAGCGUUAUCCGGAUUUAUUGGGUUUAAAGGGAGCGUAGGCGGGAUAUUAAGUCAGUCGUCAAAGCCUGUGGCUCAACCACAGCCCGCGAUUGAUACUGGUAACCUUGAGUGCGGAUGAGGUGGAUGGAAUUCGUGGUGUAGCGGUGAAAUGCUUAGAUAUCACGAAGAACUCCGAUUG
rnacentral:rRNA from 1 species